CUCUCUCUCUUUCUUGAUGAAGGGCAAAGCCAUGCCAAAUCUUGGCCUAAAAUCCUAAUUCCAAUUUCAUUUUGGAUCCUGAUGCUCAUUGUGCACCUUGUGAAUGUGUGAUCAUUGAUUUUGUGUUGUGGGUGGUGCUUAUUGUGGUUUAGAAGGCACUCCCUUAGAAUUAGUGGUUUCCAAAUACUUCCAUAGUUAAGUUGGUUUGAAGGGCCUCGGAUUUUUCCCAAUCAGUCUUUGGUCCUUUUAAUUUUUGUAGUGAAUUUUUUUGAGCAUAUACCUCUUACUGCCAACUUUCCAACGAGCUCAAGUUUGCUCAAUUUGGAGCUAAAACAAAUUUUUUGUGAAUUUUUGAGUGCGAGGGGGUUGGCUGCCUUAGCAGUUUGGGUCACCAGUCUUUCAAAAGACAUUUCUCAGUGCUGUUUACUUAAAAAAUUCUGAAAUUUUAAGAAUAAGAGCACAUAGAAGUUUAGCUUUCAAUGGAAUAAGUUUGAUUACGUUUGAAGCAGAUCCGAAUUUUUGGUGCAUUUUGGAGUGAAGGGUGGUAAGCUGCCAUGGCGGUCUCAGUUAUUCAACUUUGAAGGAGCAUUGCGCAUGCCUAAGGUAUUGGACUGCCACACAGUUCCUUGGAGAAAGAGCGGCUUUAAGUUAGGUUUCCAACCAAGCAAAAAUCAUCAGAAUUGAAGCUGAUACGAAUGGUUGGCGAAUUUUGGAGUAGAAGGGAGUUGUUGCUCUAAAUUCUUCGUCGUUAUCAAGGUGUGUUCUCUCCAUUCCUCUUAGUUUUUAUUUUCUCUUUUAUUUUUUCAGUAACUCGUAACUUCCAUAUGUAAACUUUGAACUUUAAAUUUUACUUAUUACUUUUUAGUUUUACUUUUUACUUUUAAAUUAAUCGGUAACUUUAUUUUUUUUUCAAAUUGUUAAAACUUAAACUUUUAAUUUUUACUUAAUAUUUUACCUUUACUAUGGUUUAAUAACUUAAUUAAUUACUCUUACCACCAAUUCUUUAAGAAGUAAUAAUUUAUAUAUUUAAAAUAAUAAAUAAUAAAUAAUAAAUAAUCAAAUAAAAAAAAUAAAAAAAAUAAAAAAAACCUAAUAAAAAAAUAAAAAUAAAGAAAAGAAAAUAUUUAAAAAUAAAUUAUAUAAUUAGAAUUAAAAGAAGGAAUUAUUUUGCAUAAAGUUUAAUGAGUGAAUUAUCAUUGUGAAUGUGAAGAAUGAUUGGAAGAUUUUAUUAAUAACCUGGUUUUUUAACAAUAAUAACUAAUGAUUGGAUUAAAAUUUGAAUAAUGGCCUUACUUUUAAAUUCUUCUAGUCAAGUCACUUUUUAUGAACUAAAACAAACUUCCAACUAGUGGAGGUUUAUUUAAGUUCACAACCAAUAUCUAGUAAAAGUACUCAUUUUUUUUAUACCUCUAUAGUCUUGCUUUAUAAUGAUAUUUUUCUAAUUUAUUUUUUUUAAUGCAAAUAAUACUUAAAUCAAAGGCAUCUAUAUCUUGUAAGAGUACCACCAUUUUCACACCUCCAUAGUCUUGUUGUACAAUGAUGCUUUUCUAAAAUCUUUUUUUUUUUUUUUUUUUUUUUUUUUUUGUCAAUGCCAAUGUUUCUAUUUACUCUCCAAUUGCAAGUAGUUUGGAAAUAUCCUCCUUUUCACAUGACCAAUCUAUUGCCAAGGUACACAAUUUGAAAUAAAAAGACUAAAUCUAAACUUCUCCCAUAUAGCCACAUACAUCUUGCAUGUAUCUUUUUUCUUAUUUCUUUGAUUCCAAAUUUCAUUUAAGAUGUCCAUAUAAUCUUUAAAUCCAUUUUCCAAGUCUUUAUAUUUAAAGAUUUUUAGAUUUUCCACCCUUAAAUUCCAUACUUGAUGAUGAACCUUAUCUUUGACAAAAUCCAAUUGUGUUCCCAUUACAUGUGCAUUAUCUAUAUAACUAUGACCUUCGUCCAAAAGAAAAGUGCUCACAAUUAAUUUAAUCAUAGUCAAUUACUUGGCAUCCUUAUUUUUUAUCCCAUAAUCUUUAUUUGCCACAUAAUCUUUUAUAACAUCUUUCAUAUCUUCUUGAAUGCAUCCUUGUAAAAUAUGAUAACCUUUUGUUGUCUCAAAGCAUUAUAUGACUUCAUAAUAUUCAAAAA
rnacentral:lncRNA from 1 species